AGCAGAGUGGCCUAGUUAGUGGAAGGGGCCUGGGAGCCAGAAGGACCUGGGUUCAAAUCCUAGUUCUGCCA
rnacentral:tRNA from 1 species